GGGUAGCUAUGUACGGAAGGGAUAAGCGCUGAAAGCAUCUAAGCGUGAAGCCCCCCUCAAGAUGAGAUUUCCCAAUGAGUAAGACCCCUUGAAGACGACGAGGUAGAUAGGUUGGGGGUGGAAGUGCAGUAAUGCAUGGAGCUGAUCAAUACUAAUCGGUCGAGGGCUUAUCCUAAA
rnacentral:rRNA from 1 species